CUUUCUUAUGAAGAUAUCAAUGGGGAAUUCAUCAAUAUUCUGAGAUUUUUUUUUGUUAUAGGUGUCACGCAUCAAUGUCCUAUUUCAUCUUUGCUCAAUCGGAGACUCAGAUCCAAAGGCAAAGCUCCCCUGUUCCAACUGCCUGCGUCCAGGAUUCGUGGGCGUCCACAAAAUAUUCACGGUAGCCGCAACACAGGAUAUGACAACCAUCAUGAGCCGGAUUCAGGCAAAGACACGUGUCACUCUGAUUCAUCAAAUCUAUUUAACAUACACAGCACUCAAGGAGACAUAACUGUAGUUGUUCCGGGAUUCGAAGAUAUGGGAGUUCGAAGUCCUGAUGGUCAUUUGUUGUUAAUGAGAUGGAAACUUCACGUGAAAAUGUGAUCUGAAUACAACAUCUUGAACAAGGCAGGCGUUGGAUUCACGUUUUGGAACUCCCACUCUUGCCGAUAAUUCAUGCCAAAUGCCAUUACAUUCUACCCAAGAAUCAGUCAGCAUUAUCUCAUGGCAUCACGGAAGUAGCUACAGGACGAAGAUCUCUCUGGUAAUAGGAUUAAAAGUAGUCAGGGAUAUUUGACUCCAUCGCAAAGACGGCUACACGGCAUUGAUCUAUUUAAAGUGUCAACUCAAGCACCAAGUACGUGCUAAUAUGGAUGAAAAAAGCAGUGUGGAUGAAAAAAGCAGUGUGAAGGUGACUAAUAAUGAAAAAAAAGUUCAAGUUGAGGAGAAUAUAGAACCAGUGAAUCUUAAUUCUAACAUCACCCACCAGGA